rnacentral:tRNA from 1 species
UUAUCUAGUGACUGAAAAGCAAGUAAUGGUCUCUUAAACCAAAUUAUGGUAAAAUGCAUUUACCCUAGAUAAA